AGUGAACGCUGGCGGUAGGCCUAACACAUGCAAGUCGAACGGCAGCACAGUAAGAGUUUUCUCUUACGGUUGGCGAGUGGCGGACGGGUGAGGAAUACAUCGGAAUCUACUUUUUCUUGGGUGAUAACGUAGGGAAACUUACGCUACUACCUCAUAUGUUCUACGGUUUAAAUCAGUGGUUCUUCGCACCUUUCGUGUUUCUAUUAGCUGAUGUCGGAUUAGCUAGUUGGCUGGGUAAAGGCCCACCAAGGCGACGAUCCGUAGCUGGUCUGAGAGGAUGAUCAGCCACACUGGAACUGAGACACGGUCCAGACUCCUACGGGAGGCAGCAGUGGGGAAUAUUGGACAAUGGGCGAAAGCCUGAUGGAGCAAUACCGCGUGGGUGAAGAAGGCCUUCGGGUUGUAAAGCCCUUUUGUUGGGAAAGAAAAGAAGCAGGUUAAAACCCCGCUGUUAUGACGGUACCCAAAGAAAAAGCACCGGCUAACUACGUG
rnacentral:rRNA from 1 species